UUCGACGACAUAUUAAUGAAGGGAUAGAAUAAUAAUAUUAACUUUCCUUUUAUUCCCACGUUUUGGCCUUGUAGCAGCACCUUAGCUUGUUGCUUAUAUAUAGAUGCUUGAGAUGUAAUGAAAAACAUAAUAAUAGUACUAUCUUUCCUUCCUUCUCAUUAUCUUGGAGGCUCCUAGUCCUCAAAUUCUAGGGUUUCAUUUCUGCAUUCAUAACAGAUCCUCUAAGUUCAGGUCCUUGGCCUUCAUAACACUGUGCUCCAUCUCAACCUGCUUGUAGUUGUGGCCUCCCUUCUUCGGUGACCCACUCAUCCCCAUCGCCGACUUCCGAUCCUUCCGC
rnacentral:lncRNA from 1 species